UCGGGGAAGGCCUCUGGGAAAAGCAGACAAGUAAGCAAAGACUAAAAGCAGGCAGGAGAAGGAGCCCUGCAGGUUCUCGGGGAAGAGAGCUCCACGCAGAGGGAAUUCUUUGCCAACAGACAGAGCCUGCUGUCCUUGGCUCUGCUCUCCCGAGCUUCUGUAACGUUGGAAUCCUUUCAGAACCGCAGCUGUGCAGGGCGCUGGAGAAGCUGCACCAUGGGUGUCGCCCAGAUCCAGUCUCAGCAUCUUCCUCACCCCCGAGACUUCAGCCUCUGUGGACUUCCUGCUGAUCCCGAGCAGGGUGAAGAAAUAGCUAAGACAUUUGGAUAGCCAAUGGAAAAUAGAAGAAAGAGUAAGGGAGUAUGGACCCAGCCUGUGAUGUUAAACAUAACUACAUGUCCGCUGACACAGAGAAUGACUAACAUCUAUGUGCUUGGAAAGUGGAGGGCUGCAAACUCCAGCGUUCACCAGGAACAACCAGUAGUGAAACAGCCUGUGUGGAAGGAUAUUAGGGAGUGGUGGGGACUGUGGCAGACUGGCAACCACAUGCCCCAUCUAAGGUGGCAGCUGCUGCUCAGCUCUAAUCAUCCAUGCCAGAAUGUUAGUCCAGAGUCAUCAGACCUCUGAUUUUGGGGGGAGAAAUCAGAAAUCUAGAUUUUUAAAAUAUAAGAUCCCCUACAUUUUAAAAUGUUGAUACUAUUUUGAAUUAAUAAAUAAAAAAAAGUAAGGACCAAACUAAAUAAAUCUGAA